UUACUAUCUCUUUAAAACUAUCAUAUGAGGGAAAGAUUCCAAAUGUAAACUAAUACAGACAUAUGCUCAGUUAUACAUCACAAGCUACUCAUACGAUUCUGAUGAAUACUACAUACUACAUAUACACCUUGACAAACGAAAUAUAACUAAAUAAACUACAAUCUCUAAAGCUCGUUUUUAGUCAUGCUUCGAACUUCAGCUACAUGGUGUACCAGUGUAAUGGUUCUGUACCUGGUAUUUUGAAAUAAAAGAAGAAGAGGAUGAUGAUCAGCAGAGUAGUAAUAGUACAACAAGACAGCAACAGCAGUAGCUAAACCCAGCAAACAAUCAACAGGACAACCCAGCAAAGAGUAGAAACUAGAAAUAAAACUCAAGAAUCCAGUUACAAUUUCAGCAACACUAAAUAGCAACACAGAAUGCACCCAAAAACAGCAACUACCAAUGUAACAGUAACAGAUAACCAGUACUGAUGUUCAACACUAGAGAAGAGACCUCACUUUCAGUUUUAUUUAUCUCUCAAAUUACUCUUUUAACUCUCAAUCUACUGAACUCUUCAUGUAUAAAAAUCCAGCCUAAGUUCUGUUUUCAUAUCUGAAUUUUCAGUGUCUAAAAUUCCGUCUUAAGCUCUCAAUGUUUCCUCCAAAAUUUCCAAUCCUUUAUUACUCCUUAAUUUUAUGUAUUUAUAGAAACUCCUAACCUACCCUCUUUGAAAAACUACAUCACCCGACCAACAACCCCAAAAUAAUAUGCCUAUUUUCAACUAAAUCCCA
rnacentral:lncRNA from 1 species